UACGUAGGGGGCAAGCGUUUGUCCGGAAUCAUUGGGCGUAAAGAGCGCGUAGGCGGUCCGGUAAGUCCGCUCUGAAAGCCCGGGGGCUCAACCCCGGGAGGCGGGCGGAUACUGUCGGGCUAGAGUCCGGAAGAGGCGAGUGGAAUUCCUGGUGUAGCGGUGAAAUGCGCAGAUAUCAGGAGGAACACCGAUGGCGAAGGCAGCUCGCUGGGACGGUACUGACGCUGAUGCACGAAAGCUAGGGGAGCAAACAGG
rnacentral:rRNA from 1 species